GGUCAAUGUGAUUUUAAAAGAUCUGAAAUCCAGGUCUCCUCUCAGUCCUUCCGCCCCUCCCAGCAGCCCCUCUUCAUUUUUACCCAGCAUGCUCUAGUUGUGCAUUGUGGCAUGUGAUACUUUGGAUGUUUUUGGAGAUUAGGAGUCUCUUCGAGAACCAAGUGAGACCUCGACAGUGGCGUCCAACAGAACAACACAAAGGAGGGCUGGACAGGAGGAGAAUGUUAAAAUUGGUGCAUGAUCUCAAGUUUUCAAGCUGAGACC